GACGAACCGAGCGAACGUUGUUCGGAAUCACUGGGCUUAAAGGGCGCGUAGGCGGGCCAGCCAGUCUGUGGUGAAAGCCUCCAGCUUAACUGGAGAAGUGCCGUGGAUACUGCUGGCCUCGAGGAGGAUAGGGGCAUCUGGAACGGUCGGUGGAGCGGUGAAAUGCGUUGGAUAUCGACCGGAACUCCGGUGGCGAAGGCGAGGUGCUGGGUCCUUUCUGACGCUGAUGCGCGAAAGCCAGGG
rnacentral:rRNA from 1 species